ACUCCCAACCCAUGUGAACUUACCUUUUGUUGCCUCGGCAGAAGUUAUAGGUCUUCUUAUAGCUGCUGCCGGUGGACCAUUAAACUCUUGUUAUUUUAUGUAAUCUGAGCGUCUUAUUUUAAUAAGUCAAAACUUUCAACAACGGAUCUCUUGGUUCUGGCAUCGAUGAAGAACGCAGCGAAAUGCGAUAAGUAAUGUGAAUUGCAGAAUUCAGUGAAUCAUCGAAUCUUUGAACGCACAUUGCGCCCAUUAGUAUUCUAGUGGGCAUGCCUGUUCGAGCGUCAUUUCAACCCUUAAGCCUAGCUUAGUGUUGGGAAUCUACUUCUCUUAGGAGUUGUAGUUCCUGAAAUACAACGGCGGAUUUGUAGUAUCCUCUGAGCGUAGUAAUUUUUUUCUCGCUUUUGUUAGGUGCUAUAACUCCCAGCCGCUAAACCCCCAAUUUUUUGUGGUUGACCUCGGAUCAGGUAGGAAUACCCGCUGAACUUAAGCAUAUCAAUAAGCGGAGGAAAAGAAACCAACAGGGAUUGCCUUAGUAACGGCGAGUGAAGCGGCAACAGCUCAAAUUUGAAAUCUGGCCCUUGGGUCCGAAUUGUAAUUUGUAGAGGAUGAUUUUGGUGCGGUAUCUUCCGAGUUCCUUGGAACAGGACGCCUUAGAGGGUGAGAGCCCCGUACGGUUGAAUGCCUAGCCUCUGUAAAUCUCCUUCGACGAGUCGAGUAGUUUGGGAAUGCUGCUCUAAAUGGGAGGUAAAUUUCUUCUAAAGCUAAAUAUUGGCCAGAGACCGAUAGCGCACAAGUAGAGUGAUCGAAAGAUGAAAAGCACUUUGAAAAGAGGGUUAAAUAGCACGUGAAAUUGUUGAAAGGGAAGGAUUUGUGACCAGACUUUUUCUGGGCGGAUCAUCCGGGGUUCUCUCCGGUGCACUUCGCCCAGUAAAGGCCAGCAUCGGUUUUCGGCGUGGGAUAAAAGCAGUAGGAAUGUGGCUCUCUACGGGGAGUGUUAUAGCCUAUUGUAUAAUACCGCGCU
rnacentral:rRNA from 1 species